CAGGUGCUGCAUGGCUGUCGUCAGCUCGUGUCGUGAGAUGUUCGGUUAAGUCCGCUAACGAGCGCAACCCCGCUGUGUGUUACAAGUGUCACACGGUACUGCCGGUCUAAAACCGGAGGAAGGUGGGGAUGACGUCAAGUCAGCAUGGCCUUUAUAUCCUGGGCUACACACACGCUACAAUGGCCGGUACAGUAGGUAGCGAAGCCGCGAGGUGGAGCCAAUCCACAAAGCCGGUCUCAGUUCAGAUUGCAGGCUGCAACCCGCCUGCAUGAAGAUGGAGUUGCUAGUAACCGCAGGUCAGCUAUACUGCGGUGAAUACGUUCCCGGGGCUU
rnacentral:rRNA from 1 species